GGUGAGACACAUCUGUUGACAGAAGCCUCCCGUGGAGCAGAAGGGCAAAAGCUCACUUGAUCUUGAUUUUCAGUACGAAUACAGACCGUGAAAGCGG
rnacentral:ncRNA from 1 species